rnacentral:lncRNA from 1 species
ACCAUUCUGGUUUGGAAAACACUAGCAUCCUGGUUCUUCCUGGUACAUUUCCAGAGUCCUGAAGGUUAUUCUCCAACCUUCCAGACUACAACAUGCACCCUUUGCUUAGGUGACACUUUUGAAACUCAGCUUCCUUCCUCAGGGAGCAGUUGUUUUCCUUGGAUUUCCUUCUGCUCUGACAGACCCACCAACCUGACCUCGCACCUACAGAGAAGAACUGAGACAGGAAGUACAUAUUAUCAGAAAGAAAUGAAAACCAUAAUAUACCAGGACAUUUUUACAGUCCUAUCUUUUGGGUUACAGACAUUGACCAUGCCUUACAGCAAAGCAGGCUCACGUUUUAUUCCUUAGUGGGGAUGAAACGGAGACAGAGAAAGGAGAAGCAGAGGGAACGGGAAGGCAUACAUUGUCCAGGAGUCUGCCUUUGGAGCCAGAACUGGACUCAAGAUACAGUGUAGGGGAAAACAGUCUAUGCUAUCACCUACUUGGCCUCAGGAGGACAGUUACACUUUACACUCCACUCCGUUAUUUGGAAAUGAAUUACUUCCUCUGUCCUGGAAUAAUCUACUCUGU